rnacentral:lncRNA from 1 species
UGCUAAUCUGGAUUCAUGAGGGUAAAUCCUGUAUGUGUAAAGAAAAAUCCAGGAUUGAUAUCAGAUAAGCACUCUAAAAAAAAACACUUGUAGAUUAUAUUACGCCACUACUUACAAGACACCCACAGCAAAAACUUCGAUCUAUAUAGAUCCCAAAACUACUAGAAACGCAAAACAGUAGCCCUCCCCUCUCUUUCAUGUUCUUGUGGGUUCUGAGAAAAAUCUUACUUAGGUUUUCAUGAGGAAGGCCACCAUUACUUAAAUCAUGGCUCAAAACUAUUAUGUAUUGGCCUUCGCCGCCUAACUGGAGCAUAAUCCGCAUUCCACCACCAAGGCAUCAUCCCUUUCUUUGCCACAAAUCUUCCCCUCGUUGCCGGCUGCUGAUCCUGCAACCUCGUGGCGCC